CAGUCGCCGCGGUAAUACGAAGGGUGCAAGCGUUAAUCGGAAUUACUGGGCGUAAAGCGUGCGUAGGCGGUGAGUUAAGUCUGCUGUGAAAUCCCCGGGCUCAACCUGGGAAUGGCAGUGGAUACUGGCUCGCUAGAGUGUGUCAGAGGAUGGUGAAAUUCCCGGUGUAGCGGUGAAAUGCGUAGAGAUCGGGAGGAACAUCAGUGGCGAAGGCGGCCAUCUGGGACAACACUGACGCUGAGGCACGAAAGCGUGGGGAGCAAACAGGAUUAGAUACCCCGGUAGUCCCUGUCUCUUAUAC
rnacentral:rRNA from 1 species